GAUUAACAAAGCCUCACAACAGUUCUGCUCAGUAGACAGCACCAAGACAGUGUGAAGAACUCACAGCAAGUCACCAGCAGUCAAAACCUCUCAGCCCCACAGCCAGUGUGGCAAUUCCUUCAUAGCGGACACCAUUACCUUAAGACAAGAAACAAGCAGGAAAGGAACCCAGGGAUCCUGAAUUACCAUGGAAUUAUCUGAGUAGUAAUUUGGCUUGCUCAUAAGAGAAGAGCUUUGAAAUCCUGUGUAACCUCCAGAGAAUAUAGUCCUGGCUUUACACCUCCUGCCAUGGAAAGCCCUUUCGGUGCUUAACUGCACCCUAAACAUAGUCUAGAGCACUGGUUUGCUACUUAGCUGAUAGUGCGGAUUCCUGGAUCACCACACUACCUCCUGAGCUGCCAUGGCACGAUGCUGUUUCUGGAUGCCCUUCCCUCCUCUGCUCUUUAUUCCCUUCCAGCUGGGUCCUGGCCAGAGCAGCAGUAGCUGCAGACAGGGCCGCCUGUGGGAGUGAUGGGAGGACUGUGGUCUAUGGGGAGGGUUUUCUGGGUAGCUCUGUUGGGCAGAAAGACUCAAGAAAUAAGAGAGGGAAGGCAACAGCAGGGCAGGAGGUACUAACAAGGGCAGGCAGAUGUGGAGGGACAAAAGCAGGGAAAGGAAAGCAUCCAGCCUCAUAACUUCUUCCUUGAUUUCUACAUCUUUGGUCCCCAGAAGCCAUCAUCAGUUCCUCUGCCUUUAGUUUUCAAAAAAGAAUAUACUUGAAGUGAAUUGAUGGACUUGUUACAACAGCCUCACGAAGCAGAGCAGUCGAGAGCAUUACUGUAGUUAUAUUACCCUUUCUCUGAUUUGUGAAGAGCUAAAGCAUUUGAUAACCAAAGAGCCUUCCCUCUCCAAGAAAGGAUUUAACUGGGUUUGCUCACAUGAAAAUAAUACAGGAGAAAGAAUGUUUUCAGUUCAAAAUAAGUAAGGAAGAGGCAAAUAGAUUAAGCAAAGAUAUAUUUUAGCACAUCAUAUACAUGUCAGUGCUCCAGACAUGCCCUCCCCUUGCAGCACAUACACAUGUAACUGGGAGGAAACUGUAAGUGCAGUCCUCCUUGCCAGCAGUCAGAGAUGACCUCAUGGAAUUACGA
rnacentral:lncRNA from 14 species